rnacentral:rRNA from 1 species
AACGAACGCUGGCGGCAUGCCUAACACAUGCAAGUCGAACGAGACCUUCGGGUCUAGUGGCGCACGGGUGCGUAACGCGUGGGAACCUGCCCUUAGGUUCGGACUAACUCCCCGAAAGGGGUGCUAAUACCGGAUAAUGUCUUCGGACCAAAGAUUUAUCGCCUUUGGAUGGGCCUACGUUGGCUUAGCUAGUUGGUAGGGUAAAAGCCUACCAAGGCGGCGAUCCAUAGCUGGUCUGAGAGGAUGAGCAGCCACACUGGGACAGGGACACGGCCCAGACUCCUACGGGAGGCAGCAGUGGGGAAUAUUGGACAAUGGGCGAAAGCCUGAUCCAGCAAUGCCGCGUGAGUGAUGAAGGCCUUAGGGUUGUAAAGCUCUUUUACCCGGGAUGAUAAGGACAGUACCGGGAGAAUAAGCUCCGGCUAACUCCGU